UACGGGGGGAGCAAGCGUUGUUCGGAUUUACUGGGCGUAAAGGGCGCGUAGGCGGCCACUGCAAGUCGGUUGUGAAAUCUCCGGGCUUAACCCGGAAAGGUCAAUCGAUACUGCAGGGCUAGAGUGCAGAAGGGGCAACUGGAAUUCUCGGUGUAGCGGUGAAAUGCGUAGAUAUCGAGAGGAACACCUGCGGCGAAGGCGGGUUGCUGGGCUGACACUGACGCUGAGGAGCGAAAGCGUGGGGAGCGAACAGG
rnacentral:rRNA from 1 species